GCCAGCUCUUGGGGUUGGAGAGUGGCGCCAGACUUGGGGAUAGUGUCUUCUGCAGACUGUGCCCCACUGAAGAUCCCAACACCUGCUGGGAACCAGGAGAAAACUCAGUAGCUGCCACCACAGGAGCCGCCGGUGGAAAAAAAUCCAUUCAGUGCCUGAGAAAGAGCCUGAGGUUAGAAGCAAAGCCAUUACAAACAAUUUUAUCCAAAACUGGACAAAUCUUCUCCUAACAGUUUAUGCAUGGACACUGCAUACAGAAGUUAUAAUAAGUAUUUAUAAAGGUUUUG